AUUGAACGCUGGCGGCAUGCUUUACACAUGCAAGUCGAACGGGCUGGGGGCAACUCCAGUCAGUGGCGAACGGGUGAGUAAUACAUCGGAACGUACCUCGUAGUGGGGGAUAACUCGGCGAAAGCCGUGCUAAUACCGCAUAUGCUCUACGGAGGAAAGCAGGGGACCGCAAGGCCUUGUGCUAUGGGAGCGGCCGAUGUCCGAUUAGCUAGUUGGUGAGGUAAUGGCUCACCAAGGCGACGAUCGGUAGCUGGUCUGAGAGGAUGAUCAGCCACACUGGGACUGAGACACGGCCCAGACUCCUACGGGAGGCAGCAGUGGGGAAUUUUGGACAAUGGGGGCAACCCUGAUCCAGCCACGCCGCGUGCGGGAAGAA
rnacentral:rRNA from 1 species